AACCCAUGUCUGAAGAGUUGGCUUCGGGAAUGGUUCCUGUCCUGGGCCAACAGAAGGUCUGGGGGCCAUGACCACUGCGGUCCUUCCAGUCUCAGUCAGACCAUUAAGUCUGGUCUUAUGAGAAUUUGGGGUCUGCAUCCCACUGCUCUCCUGCUCCCUCAGGGGUGCUCUGUUGUGUGGAACUUUUUAUUGAAGUAGAACCUACACCUAAAGAAGUGCAAAAGCUUGCACAUGUUUGUUGGUGUUGUUAACUGCCAUGAAGUUGUCCUCUAUCCAUAGGGCUUUCCUUGGCUGAUUUUCAGAAGUCAAUCACCAGGCCUUUCUUUCUAGUCCGUCUUAGUCUGGAAGCUCAGCAUAAACCUGCUUAGCAUCAUAGCAACACACAAGCCUCCACUGACCAACGGGUGGUGACCGUGCAUGAGUUGCAUUGGCCCAGAAUCAAACCCAGGGCUCCCACGUGGAAGGUGAGAAUUCUACCGCUACGCUGCCACCACCACCACCAUUUACAAAAACCAAACCUGUUGCUGUGAAGUAAAUUCCGACUCAUGGGGACCCCAUGUUUUACAGAGCAGAACUGUUCCAUAGGUUUUUCUUGGCUGUAAUCUUUAUGGAAGCAGAUAACCAGACCUUUAUUCCAAGGUACCACUUGGUGUAUUUAGGUAAGCUCCACAACAACAGGAAUUUUGUCUGGUUAAGACACUAGCAUUGGCAUCCAGAGCAAUGCCUGGCACAAACGAGAUCACAGUCACAAAAUUCUGAAAGCCACUGCCACAGCUUGAGAAAGUACUAGAAGCUGUAAAUCGGGCCAGAGAAACGAGCACGGGUGAAGCAGAACAAUUUACUAACUACAUCAGUGUUCCGAAACUUCCAUGUGCAACCGAAUCACCAAGGGAACUGGUUGGAAUGCAGAUUCUGAUUCACACUGACCAACUCUGUUAAAAAUGCAAGCAAAGAGUCUUAUUAGAGCAUUUGGACAGCUCUGGCUGGGCAACAUAGUGUCAUGCAAGAUCACCAAGUGUUCCAACAUUCUGCAGGAGAGUUCCCUCUAGAUCUUCCACAAAUCACAGCAGGCCCAGAGGAGGUGAUUCAUCAUGGCGACAGAGCAGGAAAUUGAGUCCGGAAAAGCCAGCAAGCCAAAACUAGAGGUCAGGGUAGGUCUGUGGGUUAGAACUCCAAGAGAACUGUUCCCAGAAGACAAGGCAGUCAGUGUGUCAGAAACCGGGGAAGCGGCAGAAACAGCAGCUACGAGUCAACAUCAGCGAGGGUGCUCACCUGUAACUACAGGUGGGCCUGCCUGUGGUAAAGAGGUGGACACUAGAACACUUAAAAAUUACAUAUAUGCAGCUCAGAAGCCAUGGUGUUUUCAAUCGCCUCAUAUGCAUGUAAAAGCUGGGCAAUGAAUAAGGAAGACCAAAGAAUUGAUGCCUUUGAAUUAUGGCGUUGGUAAAGAAUAUUGAAUAUACCAUGGACUGCCAGGAAGAAGUACAGCCAGAAUGCUCAUUACAAGUGAGGAUGGCGAGACUUCGUCUCAUACUUUGGACAUGUCAUCAGGAGGGACCAGUCCCUGAAGGACAUCAUGCUGGGUAAAGUAGAGGGUCAGCAAAAAAGAGGAAGACCCUCAACAAGAUGAGCUGACACAGCGGAUACAACGGGCUCAAACAUAAUGAUUGUGAGGAUGGUGUAGGACUGGGCGGUGUUUCAUUCUGUUGUACACAGGGUUGCCAUGAGUCGGCACUGACUCGAUGGCACCUAACAACAAUAGUUCACAAUGUAUUUCCUUAGGAAUGCCCUGCUAGAGUAUUCUCAACAAAAACCAGUAACAACUCAGUGUUGAAGCAUUUUAUUAAGUCAGAUAAGGAAUUUCCACAUUGUUGCACAUGCCAACUUGUGUACAAUUUCAAGGGCAUAUCGCUUGUGUACAAAGAUACAGCUGAGUAGUAGGCCGGCAAGUCUAUUAAGCCAUCUUUAACCAGCUAAAAGUUCUAGAACAUUCAAAGAACAAACACUGGACAAUGAAGGUCACACAAGUCCUAAUAGUGAACCGUGACAGAGCUCACUCAAUUUAUCCUUUACCUUCAAAAUGCACAUAACAUCUCUGGCCAGAAAAACUAGCAGGUUAUCACUAGUUGGAUACACACGUUUCAUUCCUGUACAUUAAACUUCUUGCCACUUACUGGCUUCUUUGAUUAAACUCAACCCUAACCAUAGAAAAGGGGUUCUGGAAGAAAUUUACUGCUGUAAAAUAUAUGCCCAUUAUUCUUCAUACGCAUUCAAGUCACUGAGCUUUCAUUAAAGUGUGUAUACAUGAUACCCAGAAACCCAGGAGUCCUAGCUUUGACCUUUUCACUUAGCUACACUCAACAGCAGUCUAGGAAAAAACACUGAAGGUUAGACACAUCGUGAGUACUGAAGCAAUGCGGCGAGGUUGUAAUAAUCUAGAAUCUACUUUAACUUGGGUAAGUGACUCUAAGUUUAAGAACCUUAAGAGACCCUAUGGACUUUUUCUUAGGUGGCAGUUUUGAAUUGCCCUAUGAUAAACAGCUGAUUAUCAGCUUUCUUCACCAUGAGGGAUAACUAGAAAAUAGUCUUUACUCAGGUAGCCUCAAACUUACUUCUUCACAUCUAAAUUUACCUUAUGACCACCGCAUACUAAUGGGUAGGCAGACAUGAUCAAAGACCCUCUUACAAACUUUGCCACCCACCCCUCAAUCUUCACCCCACCCCCACCCCCAAAUCUCUGAGACAAGUUCCCCGUGCCUUAAGCCAAAGGGUCAAUUCUGGAUUCAAGCUUAUCGGAACUAAGCUUAUAGGAAAUACAUGCAAAUAAGGGGAAAAGUUAAAUUCAUUUGUCAACAGCAAAACAUUAUUAAUGUAUGCUACUGUCCCGCUAUACAGAAGACCCCGAGAAACCACAAAUAUAACAAAACACCAUUAGGUUUAGAAAAAAAAAAAAAAAUCUUGAAGGGAGUAAUUUUAUCCUACAGUCGUUUGAAUUUACUCAACAAAUGCUUAAUGACCGACCGCAAAAUAUUUCUGCAACUAAAACUAAAAGAGAAUUACAGGGAGCUGGGAAUACAUGUUAGAUACUAACGAUCUUCAAGCUUUGAAGAUGUCAUUGCAUGAAGAAAAUUAUGGGAAACACUGUUCCCGAUAAUUACGUACACCCUUAGUGUAACAUGGAGAACGCGGUCUCCGGUAUAGACACUGUGGUAGGCAAAAACUACCUUGUUCUUUAUACAUUAUGGAAGACACUGCUCCCGAUAAUGUGACUUAGGUUUCUGACAAAGGUACUGGAAAUUUUGCAAAAUUAAAGUUACACCUUAGAUAAAUUGAGCAUAAAAUUUUACACAAAAGAGUCCUACCACAGCCUUGAGGUGACAUUUAUUUACAAGUUAGCCUCAAUUCAUUGCAUUUAUAAUGAUCAGUUUUAUUUGGUCAGCUAAAUAGAAGUCUAACUUGAUUAGCAACCCUGUUUAAUUCUUCCCCAAUAUCUAGCUUUAGGGGUAUUAAGAUGCCCCAAUAUUUUAUCUGGCUUGCGGCUGUUUUCUAAAACCCUCGAGUGUUGACCACAAAUGCAAAACUUCCAGUAUCUGUUGGGUUUUAUUAGCAGAUGCUGCUUUUAUUAAAAAAAAAAACCGACAGUAUAACUGUCAUAAUUAUGGAAGGCACUGCUUCCGAUAAUUAUCUUCUAUUAAAAAAAAAAAAAAAAACACCAUUUAUAG